rnacentral:misc_RNA from 1 species
GGAGGACGGGAAAAAGGAGGAAGAAGAGAACAGAGAACCCUAUUCCAAGUAGAAAGCCGUUGGCCACUUUGCUCCUCUAUUUCAUUCUCCCUUAGCCACUCCUCAAUACCAUAUUGCAAAUUUCGCUUCUACCGACCCUUGCAACAGACCCCCAUUUAAAGAUGUUGCUUAUUGAUCCAAAAAAGAAGUUAUCAUUCUCAUGGUGCAUCAGAGAUGGCGAUCUGGUUAUCGUCUGUGAGAAGCAUGAUACAAUGAAGGCCACUAAAGUAUGUGAGACCUCAGUGCUUCAGAACCGUUUUGGUGUAUUUAAACCUUCAGACUGGAUUGGAAAGCCUUUUGGAUCCAAAGUGCUUACUGCUUAGCAACAAGGGUGGAUUUGUCUAUUUGUUAGCU